rnacentral:rRNA from 1 species
GUGGGGAAUAUUGGACAAUGGGGGCAACCCUGAUCCAGCCAUGCCGCGUGAGUGAUGAAGGCCUUCGGGUUGUAAAGCUCUUUUGGCGGGGACGAUGAUGACGGUACCCGCAGAAUAAGCCCCGGCUAACUUCGUGCCAGCAGCCGCGGUAAGACGAAGGGGGCUAGCGUUGUUCGGAAUUACUGGGCGUAAAGCGAGUGUAGGUGGUUGUCAUAGUCAGGUGUGAAAGCCUUGAGCUCAACUCAAGAAAUGCACUUGAUACUGGGCGACUAGAGGACCGGAGAGGAUAGUGGAAUUCCCAGUGUAGUGGUGAAAUACGUAGAGAUUGGGAAGAACACCAGUGGCGAAGGCGGCUAUCUGGACGGUUACUGACACUAAGACUCGAAAGCGUGGGGAGCAAACAGGAUUAGAAACCCGGGUAGUCC